rnacentral:rRNA from 1 species
UACGGAGGGGGUUAGCGUUGUUCGGAAUUACUGGGCGUAAAGCGCGCGUAGGCGGAUUGGAAAGUUGGGGGUGAAAUCCCGGGGCUCAACCUCGGAACUGCCUCCAAAACUCCCAGUCUUGAGUUCGAGAGAGGUGAGUGGAACUCCGAGUGUAGAGGUGAAAUUCGUAGAUAUUCGGAAGAACACCAGUGGCGAAGGCGGCUCACUGGCUCGAUACUGACGCUGAGGUGCGAAAGUGUGGGGAGCAAAC